GAGUUUGAUCAUGGCUCAGAUUGAACGCUGGCGGCAUGCCUUACACAUGCAAGUCGAACGGCAGCACGGGAGCUUGCUCCUGGUGGCGAGUGGCGAACGGGUGAGUAAUGCAUCGGAACGUAUCCUGGAGUGGGGGAUAACGUAGCGAAAGUUACGCUAAUACCGCAUAUUCUGUGAGCAGGAAAGCGGGGGACCUUCGGGCCUCGCGCUCUUGGAGCGGCCGAUGUCGGAUUAGCUGGUUGGUGAGGUAAAGGCUCACCAAGGCGACGAUCCGUAGCAGGUCUGAGAGGAUGAUCUGCCACACUGGAACUGAGACACGGUCCAGACUCCUACGGGAGGCAGCAGUGGGGAAUUUUGGACAAUGGGGGCAACCCUGAUCCAGCCAUGCCGCGUGAGUGAAGAAGGCCUCGGUUGUAGUAG
rnacentral:rRNA from 1 species